GUAAACUAAAAUUGCUCUCCUUAUGCAAGUGUCCAAGAUUAAAUAAAGCUAUAACAAGUAGAAUACAUAAAACAAAGAUCAGCACUGGUAACAAAUAAAUCCCCUUAUAGAUACAUGCUUAGCUAUAAUUUAUUUCUCAAUGCUUAAAAGACUAAUCAUUAUUAUGUAAUAAACUAAAGUGGGCAGUGGAGAUGCUGAUUGAAGGAAGAUUAUUAAUCCAAUUUUCAUUAAUUUAACUUUCAAUUAACGUUUUUU
rnacentral:misc_RNA from 1 species